rnacentral:piRNA from 1 species
AUUGGUGAGCGAGAUAAAAGUCCACGGUGUC